rnacentral:rRNA from 1 species
CCUACGGGUGGCAGCAGUGGGGAAUAUUGGACAAUGGGCGAAAGCCUGAUCCAGCCAUGCCGCGUGUGUGAAGAAGGCCUUCGGGUUGUAAAGCACUUUCAGUGGGGAAGAAAGCCUUGGGGCUAAUACCCUCGAGGAAGGACAUCACCCACAGAAGAAGCACCGGCUAACUCCGUGCCAGCAGCCGCGGUAAUACGGAGGGUGCGAGCGUUAAUCGGAAUUACUGGGCGUAAAGCGCGCGUAGGCGGUCUGAUAAGCCGGUUGUGAAAGCCCCGGGCUCAACCUGGGAACGGCAUCCGGAACUGUCAGGCUAGAGUGCAGGAGAGGAAGGUAGAAUUCCCGGUGUAGCAGUGAAAUGCGUAGAGAUCGGGAGGAAUACCAGUGGCGAAGGCGGCCUUCUGGACUGUCACUGACGCUGAGGUGCGAAAGCGUGGGUAGCAAACAGGAUUAGAUACCCCAGUAGUC